rnacentral:rRNA from 1 species
UCAUGCCUACGGGGCGCAGCAGUGGGGAAUAUUGGGCAAUGGGCGCAAGCCUGACCCAGCAACGCCGCGUGAAGGAAGAAGGCUUUCGGGUUGUAAACUUCUUUUAUCAGGGACGAAGCAAGUGACGGUACCUGAUGAAUAAGCCACGGCUAACUACGUGCCAGCAGCCGCGGUAAUACGUAGGUGGCAAGCGUUAUCCGGAUUUACUGGGUGUAAAGGGCGUGUAGGCGGGAGUGCAAGUCAGAUGUGAAAACUAU